rnacentral:lncRNA from 1 species
ACCCGCCUGCGGGCGGACCGGGCGGCGUUCCCCCCCCACCUCCAGCCGCGCCGCUCGGCCACACCCGCGCACUCGGCGCUUCCGGCCACACCGUCCCUCAAACCGCCCCCUCCCGGCAUCGCCCAAUCCGCGGCGCGCCCCGCCUUCCGCCCCGCCCCUCCCGGCCACGUGACCCGCACCACCCCGCUGCCCGCGGAGAUGUCAGGCCGGCUCUCGCGAGAAGUGACGGAAGCCUGUGGGGGACCCGGCCUUUAACGCGCGGUUCGGCCCGCGUUCCCGGUCUUGAGCAGCCUGAAAUAAGGUAUUCUCUCAAAUCUUGUUUAAUUAAAUGUUGGGUGUAUCUAUUGCCUACAAUUAAUUUUCUGUUAUUAGCUAUUAUUUUUUUUCCUUCCAGUAUAAAUCAGUUUAAACUUACAAAUGGAUAUUUAUAUCUCUGAGAAGCUCUACUGUUUUUAAAAGUUUAUAUGUUAUUUCUAAUCUCAACAUGGUGGGGGUUUUUUAGGGUUUCUUAAAAUGAUCUUGAAUUUCCAUAAAAAGCAAUGCAUUAAACUGUUUUCAGAGGACCAAACAUGAUUCAAUACCAUUAACUUUUCUUUUGGAAUAAUGAGUAGAUUUCAAGUUAUUGUCCUCCUGCAUAACUUAACUACAUUUGCUUCACAUCAAUAAUGUGCACUCUAAGGAGGGAUUGGAUAUAGUUAGUGACAGAAAUAUAAGUCAAUAUGUAAUAAUUAUUCAAUACAUUUUUUUCAAGUUUAUGCUACACUGUUUCCAACUUUGUCCCCGGGUGCCGCCCCCCGCCGCUGCCGCCGAUGGAGUCGGUACAAAGUGACCUUGGCGCCGCACCUCCGCCCCCUUCCGCCGCGCCGCAUCCGGGCGCUCGCCCCCCGCCCCGCCGCGCCUGCGCACAGACGCCCUAGCCCGUCGGCCCUGAGGUGCGGCAGCCGGAGCGGGUGAGUGGCGGCGCCCCCGCGCCAUCCGCCCCCAUCGCCGCCCCCGCUCGCCGCCGCGGGGCCCCUUACCCUUC